CGGGAAAUGGCUCAGCUUGGUAGAGCGCUGCGUUCGGGACGCAGAGGCCACGGGUUCAAAUCCCGUUUUCCCGA
rnacentral:tRNA from 1 species